rnacentral:rRNA from 1 species
UGCGUAGGGUGCAAGCGUUGUCCGGAAUUAUUGGGCGUAAAGAGCUCGUAGGUGGCCUGUCGCGUCGGCUGUGAAAACUCGGGGCUCAACUCCGAGCUUGCAGUCGAUACGGGCAGGCUAGAGUUCGGCAGGGGAGACUGGAAUUCCUGGUGUAGCGGUGAAAUGCGCAGAUAUCAGGAGGAACACCGGUGGCGAAGGCGGGUCUCUGGGCCGAUACUGACGCUGAGGAGCGAAAGCGUGGGGAGCGAACAGG